UGGCUCAGUGGUAGAGUGUUUGCCUUGCAUGCAUGAGGCCCUGGGUUCAAUUCCUAG
rnacentral:tRNA from 1 species